AUAUUAACAUGACUCCGCCCAGUAGUGAGUAUUAACAUGACAGUAGUGAGUACAUAACAUGACAGGGGCCGUAGUGAGUAUAUAACAUGAUAGUAGUGAGUACAUUAACAUGACAUUAGUGAAUACAUUAACAUGACAGGGACUAAAGCGAGAACAUUAACAUGACAUUGGAGAGUACAUUAACAUGACAGGGACAAUAGUGAGUAUACUAACAUGACGGGGAUAGUAGUGAGUAUAUUAACAUGACAGGGACUAGUGAGUACAUUAACAUGACAGGGACAGUAAUGAAUACAUUAACAUGACAGGGACAAUAGUGAGUCUAUUAACAUGACAGGGACAAUAGUGAGUCUAUUGACAUGACAGGGACAAUAGUGAGUCUAUUAACAUGACAGGGAAAAUAGUGAGUUUAUAUACUCACUAUUACUACAUGGGGGUGAUGGCUGACAUUAAGAAAGGGUCAAUAGUGAGUAUAUUAA